AAAAGCAGCUGAUAGAUCGGUCGUGUACACGUCAACCGAUCGCACGCGGUAUGGUUAUCAAAAAAGAGAGUAUGAACACGAAUAAUAUUAUUGAAAAAAAAAAAGAGAUUUAGUAAUUCAAAAGUGGACGCCUGAAUCUUGCGUACAAACAAACAAACCGCGUGCAAAACUGGAUUCAACACCGUACAAAGAUCCGAUCCGACCGGUGAUACGUAAGCGCGUUAACGAUCCUCAUAAACGGUGUAAAUAUCAUGUUAUUAAACGUCGGGUAGGCGUUUGAGG